rnacentral:rRNA from 1 species
CCUACGGGGGGCUGCAGUGGGGAAUAUUGGACAAUGGGGGCAACCCUGAUCCAGCCAUGCCGCGUGUGUGAAGAAGGCCCUCGGGUUGUAAAGCACUUUCAGUGAGGAAGAACGCCUGGUGGUUAAUACCCAUCAGGAAAGACAUCACUCACAGAAGAAGCACCGGCUAACUCCGUGCCAGCAGCCGCGGUAAUACGGAGGGUGCGAGCGUUAAUCGGAAUUACUGGGCGUAAAGCGCGCGUAGGUGGCUUGAUAAGCCGGUUGUGAAAGCCCCGGGCUCAACCUGGGAACGGCAUCCGGAACUGGCAAGCUAGAGUGCAGGAGAGGAAGGUGGAAUUCCCGGUGUAGCGGUGAAAUGCGUAGAGAUCGGGAGGAAUACCAGUGGCGAAGGCGGCCUUCUGGACUGACACUGACACUGAGGUGCGAAAGCGUGGGUAGCAAACAGGAUUAGAUACCCGAGUAGUC